rnacentral:rRNA from 1 species
UACGGAGGGGGCUAGCGUUGCUCGGAAUCACUGGGCGUAAAGGGUGCGUAGGCGGGUCUUUAAGUCAGGGGUGAAAUCCUGGAGCUCAACUCCAGAACUGCCUUUGAUACUGAAGAUCUUGAGUUCGGGAGAGGUGAGUGGAACUGCGAGUGUAGAGGUGAAAUUCGUAGAUAUUCGCAAGAAUACCAGUGGCGAAGGCGGCUCACUGGCCCGAUACUGACGCUGAGGCACGAAAGCGUGGGGAGCAAACAGG